UACGUAGGGGGCGAGCGUUGUCCGAAGUUACUGGGCGUAAAGCGCACGUAGGCGGCUCAUCAAGUUGUAUCUAAAAGGCGGCAGCUCAACUGCCGAGUGCGGUGCAAGACUGGUGAGCUUGAGGCAAGCAGAAGAGUGUGGAACUCCGAGUGUAGCGGUGGAAUGCGUAGAGAUUCGGAAGAACACCCAAGGCGAAGGCAGCACUCUGGGCUUGAGAUAACCUCUUCAUGUAAAUGGAGAGCACCUGACGCUGAGGAGCGAAAGCCAGGGGAGCAAACGGG
rnacentral:rRNA from 1 species